GACAGAGGGUGCAAACGUUGUUCGGAAUUACUGGGCGUAAAGCGCGUGUAGGCGGUCCGGUAAGUCCGCUGUCGAAAGUCGAGGGCUCAACCCUCGAAUGCCGGUGGAUACUGUCGGGCUAGAGUGCGGAAGAGGCGAGUGGAAUCCCUGUGUAGCGGUGAAAUGCGUAGAGAUGGGGGAGAACACUCGUGGCGAAGGCGCCAGCUAGACCAGUUCUGACACUGAGGCGCGACAGCGUGGGAGCAAACAGG
rnacentral:rRNA from 1 species